UCCCCGGUAGUAUAUCGGAUAGUACAUGCGCCUGUCAUUCGAUGACGGCGCAAGCUUGUGCGCGCAAGAGCCGGGUUCGACUCCCGGCCGGGGAG